rnacentral:rRNA from 1 species
GGCCUACGGGUGGCAUCAGUGGGGAAUAUUGGACAAUGGGCGCAAGCCUGAUCCAGCCAUACCGCGUGGGUGAAGAAGGCCUUCGGGUUGUAAAGCCCUUUUGUUGGGAAAGAAAUCCAGCUGGCUAAUACCCGGUUGGGAUGACGGUACCCAAAGAAUAAGCACCGGCUAACUUCGUGCCAGCAGCCGCGGUAAUACGAAGGGUGCAAGCGUUACUCGGAAUUACUGGGCGUAAAGCGUGCGUAGGUGGUUAUUUAAGUCCGUUGUGAAAGCCCUGGGCUCAACCUGGGAACUGCAGUUGAUACUGGAUGACUAGAAUGUGGUAGAGGGUAGCGGAAUUCCUGGUGUAGCAGUGAAAUGCGUAGAGAUCAGGAGGAACAUCCAUGGCGAAGGCAGCUACCUGGACCAACAUUGACACUGAGGCACGAAAGCGUGGGGAGCAAACAGGAUUAGAUACCCGGGUAGUCCCC